rnacentral:rRNA from 1 species
UGGGGAAUAUUGCACAAUGGGCGCAAGCCUGAUGCAGCAACGCCGCGUGAGGGAUGACGGCCUUCGGGUUGUAAACCUCUUUUAGUAGGGAAGAAGCGAAAGUGACGGUACCUGCAGAAAAAGCACCGGCUAACUACGUGCCAGCAGCCGCGGUAAUACGUAGGGUGCGAGCGUUGUCCGGAAUUAUUGGGCGUAAAGAGCUCGUAGGCGGUCUGUCGCGUCUGCUGUGAAAACCCGAGGCUCAACCUCGGGCCUGCAGUGGGUACGGGCAGACUAGAGUGCGGUAGGGGAGAAUGGAAUUCCUGGUGUAGCGGUGGAAUGCGCAGAUAUCAGGAGGAACACCGAUGGCGAAGGCAGUUCUCUGGGCCCGUAACUGACGCUGAGGAGCGAAAGCGUGGGGAGCGAACAGGAUUAGAUACCCUGGUAGUCCACGCCGUAAACGUUGGGCGCUAGAUGUGGGGCACCAUUCCACGGUUUCCGUGUCGCAGCUAACGCAUUAAGCGCCCCGCCUGGGGAGUACGGCCGCAAGGCU